GACGAACGCUGGCGGCGUGCUUAACACAUGCAAGUCGAACGGUAAGGCCCUUCGGGGUACACGAGUGGCGAACGGGUGAGUAACACGUGGGUGAUCUGCCCUGCACUUCGGGAUAAGCCUGGGAAACUGGGUCUAAUACCGGAUAGGACCACUGCCUGCAUGGGUGGUGGUGGAAAGCUUUUGCGGUGUGGGAUGGGCCCGCGGCCUAUCAGCUUGUUGGUGGGGUGAUGGCCUACCAAGGCGACGACGGGUAGCCGGCCUGGGAGGGUGACCGGCCACACGGGGACUGAGAUACUGCCCAGACUCCUACGGGAGGCAGCAGUGGGGAAUAUUGCACAAUGGGCGCAAGCCUGAUGCAGCGACGCCGCGUGAGGGAUGACGGCCUUCGGGUUGUAAACCUCUUUCAGCACCGACGAAGCGCAAGUGACGGUAGGUGCAGAAGAAGGACCGGCCAACUACGUGCCAGCCGCCGCCGUAA
rnacentral:rRNA from 1 species